UUAGCGGUAAUGAGCUGUUAACUUAACAUGUAAGUCUCAAUGAAAUAUGCUUGUUGCGCUUGGUUUCUGAGCUAU